rnacentral:tRNA from 1 species
UAUGCUGGGGCUCAGUGGUAGAGCACUUGCCUAGCAUGAGCAAGGCCCUGGGUUAGAUCCUCAGCACCACAU